UCUGAUUGCCCCGGUUAGUAUUUAGUGUCUGUGUCAGUUCAUUGCCCUGUCUUACCCGAGUGUUACCAUGACUUCCUGUGUUCCUGUUUUUUUCCCCGUGGAUUUGUAUUAAAGUUGGAGCGCACCUGGAAGAGUCGAGUCUCUGCAGGAGCGGACUGACCUCCCUCUCGGGACGUUCCUCCCUUGUAGACCACCAUGGGCUGUCCUCCAAAUAGACUCAUCAGGUAAACAACGUCCAGCUGAGAAGACUAAAUAAACAAACAGGACAUCAACUACAGCAAGCUGCACUGACCUUUCCAGAUGAAGAUCUUGCCGUCAGAGCCAUGGUCCAGGAUAAAGCAGUCUCCAGACUCCAGGGCGCUCUGUGCAAACGGGUUCUCUGAGGCCACCAGUGCGAUGGUCAUGCCCCCGUUGGCAUUAGAUACCUAAAAGGAGGAGGGCAGAGAUGAGAGAGAGGUUAGUAAGAGACAAGAGAUGACACUGAGAAAUAACAGUCAAAGCACCUUGCUUCAUCCUUCUGGGGCUUUUAAUCUGCUAGUUAUUGGCUGCCUUGAAAUAACUGUCAGCAGGUUUCAUGGGAAACUAAGAUGUUUUAACUCAAUAUAUAAAACUUAAAGAUAGUCCUCUAGCUCAUGUGCAUGUAUAACUUGAUCUGCAUCUACAGUAUAUAACAUAAGCUUUAAUUACCUUGCAUCAUUUGUAACAGAUACUUUAUCUUUGAAUUGCAAUAUGUUUCAUUGUUGAUGACAAAACUGAACUGAGCAGGAUUUUUGACCUCCACUCGUAUCUCACCUUGUAGAGUUUGGCUCUCUUCCUGUUUGAAGCAUCAGCUUUGAUGUCAUCUGAGGCUCCUGGAGGCAGAUCUGGUUUAGGUCCCAAAACCUAAAAGCAGAAGCAGAAAUUUAACACGGAGACGUACACUCGGGCCCUCCCGCUGCGCUCGUUAUCACGGAUACCCUUAGCCACCUGGGUAGCCUUCAGCUUCUCAAAGCGGUUACUCUGAGAGCCGCACCACUGAUAGAUCUCCUGUUCAGCAGAAAGAAGAGCAGAUGGAGAAGAAGGUCCAGGAUGAAACAGUCUCCCUGGUUGAAGCUGUCCCAGCUGACGGCCACCUCUGUUGCCCUGACAGCUCGGCGGCCUUUGACCUGAAGCACCCGCUGCAUAACCACCUCAUUGGUAACCACGUGCUUGAAACCAGAUGCAACGCCCCCUUUCUACUUGAAGUAGCCAAGAAAGGUUUUGGACUCGUAUCCCUGCACCUCUCUGUACUGGAUGGGUUUCCCUCCAAGGAAGUCGUCCAUUUGUACCGUAAAGAUGGCCGCUGAGCCGCUCUCAUCCUGGCUGCAAAGAUCACCUACAAAACACGAUCCACAGACAUGCUCCAAGUCAAUCAUGGUCCUCCUUUUGUUGCAGCAGUCAAACUGUACCCAGAGAGCGACACAUUGUGUGUGAGGGAUUCCCUCACUGCGGACUCAGUGGGUCAGGAGAUCAAUAUUUACUGUACUCACCCAACCAGAAGUGGAGGUCGUACUGCAGGUUCCCGGAGCGCUGCUUGAUGGUGUUGAGGACGAGGACUAUUUCACACACACGAAAUGUGCAAGAUGAAAACAAAGCUGAAAGGAGGUGAACAUUUGACUCACCUUCAAUUCAAUGAUAGCAGCGCCUGGGUACUGGUGGGCGUGAGUUUGAAACUUGUUGCUGAAAACUUUUCAACACUAUUAAUUUUGUGUUCACAAAUUGUUUUUCAUCUGUAGUGAAUUUAAUUAUUAUUGAACGUUUUUUUCUACUGAUUUGAAAUAUAAAAUUAUAGAAAUCUGUCUUUUUAAGGGUGUCGUGUUCUCAUUGAGUUACGCUUAAAACCACCUGCAGUACAACUUUUAUUUUUAAAUGCAUUUUAAUGAUAGCUUCUUACGUGCUAACAAGCCUUGCCAUUAGUGACACAUCAUUGCACUGCUUUACAUUUGGUA